UUCUCAAGUUUCAACUGCUUUUCGUCUUUUAAAAUACAUUUCAAGAAUUCUACAAACAUUUUGGGCUUUUUGAAGUCGUCGGUGAUCUUAUUCUACGGAUUAUUUUAUGAUAUUUUGUUGUCUUAUUAAAAUUGUUUAAUCUGAAGAUUUAUUUUUUAAAAAAGAUAAAUAAAAGCUUUAAUUUUAUUAAAAAUGAGUGAACUUAAUAAGAUAUAUACUAUAAUCACAUUAUAAGGUUGACGUAAAUGGAAAAUUCUGUUGAUAUUUAUGCCAAGUGAUAUUUGGGAUUGGCACAACAAUUGAUACUACUAUCAAUAGAGGCGUAAUUAUUAUUAUUGUUGCUAAUUUUAUUUUUUAUUCUUUUAAUUUAAUGCCUACUGGUAAUAUUGCAGUAAGUUAAAUAAAAGUUUUCGUUUUUGUCAGUUUUACUUCACAAUAUAUUCGGAUAUUAUUAGUAAGAAAGGAAAAUUAAGCAAUUUUCGAUGCUUUCUGAAAUUUCAUUUAUGUACAACUAAUUCUGAAGCCGGUUUACUUUAAAUCUCUACACGGAAAAAUAGUUUAUAUACAUGUUUCAGAUGAAAGUAAUACAGUACUAUAUAUUCUUUGGUAGGGCAGACAUCGAGUCUAUGAAGCAGCGACGUUUUAAAAAAGACGAAAUUGGAUCCAGCUAUUCAUAAGGAAAAAAAAACAACAAGAAAAAGUUUGUAGAAGACAAAAUUAUAUUUGUUUCGUCAUAGCUCAAUUAGUCAUACAGAUAAAGGAAUAAUUUUUUUAUAUUAUAUUUUAACUUGAAAAUCAUUUUUCCAAUUAUUUUAAAUCAUUUAUUUUUAAAAAAAGGACAUUAAAUUUAUUUAGAAUAAAUAUCAUAAAAAAUGAAAGCUAAAAAUCAAAUAAACGUUUACUGUAUUCUGAUACUGUCAGGA